GAAGUACUCCCUUCGUUCGGAAUUACUCGUCUCGAAAAUGGAUGUAUCUAGAACUAAAAUACGUCGAGAUACAUCCAUUUCUGUGACAAGUAAUUCCGAACGGAGGGAGUAGUUA
rfam:Triticum aestivum genome assembly, contig: Triticum_aestivum_CS42_TGACv1_scaffold_321669_4BL